rnacentral:rRNA from 1 species
AACAAGGUCUCCGUUGGUGAACCAGCGGAGGGAUCAUUACAGAGUUGCAAAACUCCCUAAACCAUUGUGAACGUUACCUAUACCGUUGCUUCGGCGGGCGGCCCCGGGGUUUACCCCCCGGGCGCCCCUGGGCCCCACCGCGGGCGCCCGCCGGAGGUCACCAAACUCUUGAUAAUUUAUGGCCUCUCUGAGUCUUCUGUACUGAAUAAGUCAAAACUUUCAACAACGGAUCUCUUGGUUCUGGCAUCGAUGAAGAACGCAGCGAAAUGCGAUAAGUAAUGUGAAUUGCAGAAUUCAGUGAAUCAUCGAAUCUUUGAACGCACAUUGCGCCCGCCAGCAUUCUGGCGGGCAUGCCUGUUCGAGCGUCAUUUCAACCAUCAAGCCCCCGGGCUUGUGUUGGGGACCUGCGGCUGCCGCAGGCCCUGAAAAGCAGUGGCGGGCUCGCUGUCGCACCGAGCGUAGUAGCAUACAUCUCGCUCUGGUCGCGCCGCGGGUUCCGGCCGUUAAACCACGUUUUUAACCCAAG